GAAGGGACGUUCUAUUUAUUGUGCAUCCAUUCUCCUUGCGUGCUUGAAUUGGAGGACUUCAAUUAAUGAGCAUGGAUCAUUCUGAGCUCUAAC